UCAUAACUCAGUUGGUAAAUCAUCUGCCUGCAAUGCAGGAGACCCAGGUUCAAUUCCUGGGUCGGGAA
rnacentral:tRNA from 1 species